rnacentral:rRNA from 1 species
ACUCCUACGGGAGGCAGCAGUGGGAAUAUUGCACAAUGGGCGCAAGCCUGAUGCAGCCAUGCCGCGUGUAUGAAGAAGGCCUUCGGGUUGUAAAGUACUUUCAGCAGUGAGGAAGGUGGGUAUGUUAAUAGCAUACUUCAAUUGCNUUAGCUGCAGAAAGAAGCACCGGGCUAACUCCGUGCCAGCAGCCGCGGUAAUACGGAGGGUGCGAGCGUUAAUCGGAAUUACUGGGCGUAAAGCGCAUGCAGGUGGUUUGUUAAGUCAGAUGUGAAAGCCCGGGCUCAAGCCU